UUAUCUUCAAUUUUUUUCCUUCUUUUUUUCCCUAUUUUCUAUAUUUCUAUGCAUAUUUUUCUUCUAUUUUUAUUUCUUUUCCCCUUUAUACUAUUUCUCUUUUCCUCUCUUCUUAUUUUUUGUUCCUUGCACUUCGACAUCAACGGCUCUGUUCACUUCAACACCAUCUGCACAUACUUUCAGUUGCUGUGACGAGAAUAAAUCCAUCCAUUGAGAAGAUUUCCGAUGAGGAAAAAAAAUUGAAGAAGUUUGCCUUAGGAUCCUCAUUUAUUUGGAAAAAAGAUAGAGAAAUAAUAUUUCUCUACAAUGGAUUAAACUACUCCAUUUUUCAGAGAGUUUCUGGGGAGCUCUGAUCGCCCGAUUCGUGUGGCAUUGAAAUCUCAUACGAACUAAACGAACCAGGAUGACUUUUUUGUAUUAUAUGCACUCACUUCCAAAAGUUAAGCACGGAGAGGAAAAUGCUAAUUUCCGGAAGCCAAUCAGAAGUGUAGAGGAUGCAAUUCGCUGCAGAGGUAGAUGGAAGUAUGCAAAUAUGUUAGGUAACAGCCA